rfam:Serratia proteamaculans 568, complete genome.
UGUCGUCUUUGGACGACCACCAAUGCUCAGUGGGUCUGUGAUGAGCGCCUUCGGGUGACCCUGCUGUCGAUAGACAGCCACCAAUGAUCUAGCCAUCUGCGAGGAUCGCCUUCGGGUGAUGGCAAAAGAAAGCUUCCGUAGCCUGAGAGGGAGCACGCCAGGUCUGGUGUGGUACAUC